ensembl:lncRNA
CGGCGCGGGCCGGGAUGGGGGCUCGGCGCGGCGCUGCGAAACCCGAGAGGCCACGAAACUUGGCGCCACGUGCUGCGGCGAGAUGAGGGGGGGUGGGUGUCUCCGGAGGGGGCCGAGGGGAGACACCGAGGCAGGGCCGAGAGACUCGAGGUCGGAGAAGACUACAGGGACAGGAGAAGAAAGAGAGGGAAUCCAGCCGCUGCAAUAAUCAGAGAAGGAGGCAGGAAAAGUACAAAGAGCUCCCUCCACAGGAACCGGUUCCCAAGGGGGCAAGGGGAGCGCAUGUUCCCGAUGAGAUGACCCUAGCCAAUGCCCUCUCCCAGAUGCCGGUAAACACCCGCAUCCCUAAGGCUCCCUGGAGAACUGCACAGUCCCCGCUGCUUCCAAGACCUCCAGAAACCCGGCUGACUCUUCUGCAACCAGGAUCACCCAUCGAGGGCUCCACACCCUGGAGGACGCCACCAGAGGACCCCUAAUGGGUGUCUGAGACGAGAAAGGAAAGCCUGCAUGCUUUGUGUGUGUUUUUAACCUGGGUAGGAGCAGGCCUGAGGCUGAACGGCUCCUGAGUAAGGUACCAAGCACUGCAGCUCCCGUCUUUGUGCAGUCGCCAACACCCAUCCGCACCUCCAGACGGCCCGACCUACUCUGUCCGAGUGUGCCUGAACAAGGAGGUCUGGCCGGCUCCUUCCUGGGGGCAGGCAACCCUCCCUGGCAGGUGCUGCGGGGCAGCUCCCAACGCCCCCCCUCCCCCAGGAAGAAUUUCUCAGAUGAAAACCGCCUCGGUGCCUCUGCCUAAGACCCGUUCUCCAGCCCUUCUAACCGCACCCAUACCGCCCCUACACCGCAGCAGAGCUGGGAGACUGCACCAGAAGCCAAGCCGGCAGCCAGCGGUGCGACUCUGCCCUCGCCGCAGGAGCCGAGCGGUGUUCCAGCGGUCCCGCCCUAGGCCUCAGGGCCCAGUCAGGGCCCACCCUCGUAGGGACCGCGCCGGCCAGGAUGGCUGCCGCCUUCUUCCUGCCCUUCUUCCUGCCGGAGAUCCAGGCACGGCCUGCAGCACUCGGACAGAGCCGCCCCAAAGUUUCCCCGCCUCACGAAGGCAGCCACAGAACCCGGACCCAGGGGACAGUCCUAGAGGACUAGGUCCACCCAGGCUGGCUCUCCCCAGGGCGAAAAAGGUGUCUGGAGCCUUCCCCGUGAAAAGAGACCCCUCCGCCUGACCAAUCAGCUACAACGAUUUAGUGCGACCACUCCCGGCAGCGCGCCCGGAACCGGGCCGCCUCGGAGCCCUCCACCAGGGACGGGCCUGCCUCAGCGCGGCCCAGCUUGUUUUCUAAGCGCGGACGCGUCUAUGCGGUUUGCUCGGCCACCCAGGCCAGGCCCGAGCUGCCGCCACAGUCGCAAGGGACAGCACCGGGGCUGAGGCGGAUGGAGGGUGGGGGUGUUGGGAAAGGUUAAUGCCGUCUUCAGACCCUGGUCCAGAGGGCAGAACCGCGGAGUACCUGUUCUCCAGGACCCCCAGCUCUCCACGUCCACCCCAAAACGAAACCAGAACCCAAUUCCAAGGGCUGCAGUUUGCCGCAGGAAUGGAGUCACAACGGGGGGGGGGGGGGGGGGAUGAAUACGCGAUCUAUUAGGGGCCUUUUUUUUCCUACUAAGGCGAAGAAAAAGAGGCAGAGGGGAGGAAGGAGAAGAGGAGAGGAGGAAGGAAGAAGGAGGGAAAGGGAAGAGAAGAAACACCAAGAAAAGGGGAGAGAGUCCCCACCCUCUCCACCGCCCCUACAGAACAGGUUUCGAUUUUUCGGGAUCUCGACGGGCAGAACCCCAAAGAUCCGCCGCAGCACCGUGCGCGGCAGAAGGGCGGGCGGAUAAAAACAAACCGAUUCGGUCGACGAGGCUGUAGCCCAAUUCCGGUCGCUUUUAUUCCCCCCGCCCCCGGUGGGUUCUGUUUAAUACGGUUUGCCCGCACCGUCCGGCGCCCACCGCGAGGGCCUCUUCGGUGCCGAGGCUUUGUGGAACAAUCUCC